AAUAAGUCUUCAACGUGUGAUCAAUCUUCAACGAUCGGCGAUGACAACACAUAGUUUAACACUCUCCAGUGAUGUUAGUCAUCUGCAAGGUGAAUAUCGGGACAGGUACAUCGAGAAACUUCGUCAGGGAGGCCUGGAAAACGAUGUUUACCUUUUGCUGAGCGGUUUGUUUACUGACGUCAUCAAGUGCAGCGCUGCGUGUCUUCCCAACCUCACACCGCACGAUCUGUAUCAUUAUGUGAUUAACAAUGUCUCAAGAUACACUGGACAAGAUCUGAAGGCCUACAAGAGUCUGGAUGCCUGUCAGUACUUCGUGUCAGGAUGGGUGACUAGCCUCAAUCAGUGGAUUCUACCAGCAGUUUCAGGUCGUCAUCUCAUCACAGUUUAUUUACAAAUUCAUGAGAAUUCAGUAAGGCUGUGAAGAUCGAACAGGAGACGAGGCAACAGGCAAAGUCAAAGUUAUGGUUUUCCCUCAGAGCAGGAAGGAUCACCGCUUCACGGUUCAAGGAUGCGGCACGAACCGACCCAGCAAACCCAUCAAAGAGUUUGGUCAGGUUGAUCUGUUACCCUGACAGUUUCAAGUUUUCAACAGCUGCCACACGGUAUGGGUGUGAAAAUGAAGACCGUGCCAGACAAGCGUAUGCCACGUUCGCAAAAGCACAACACCUGGACUUCAAGGUCAGGGAAUGCGGCUUGCACAUUAACCCAGCCUUCCCAUUUCUUGGGGCCUCUCCAGAUGGCUUGGUGUCCUGUGCAUGUUGUGGCGAUGGACUGCUAGAAAUCAAAUGUCUUUUUGCAAGCAAGGAUGCUGGCAUCGUCACAGCUGCGCAGUCCAAAACCUUCUGCUUGAAGGGCACUGAUGGAAGCUUGGAGCUCAGAAAAGACCAGUUAUUAUUAUCAAGUGCAAUCACAGCUAUUUGUGAUGGGCCGAGGAUACUGCGACUUUGUGGUGUGGACAGAAAGUGCAGAAUUCUGUAUUGUUCGUGUUCAACCUGACUCUGCCUUUUUUUAAUUCUGCACUUGAAAAUGUCACAUAUUUUUACAAACUUGGCAUUUUGCCUGAACUGUUAGGAAAGAAAAUCACCUGUGCCCAAGUCACCAGCCAUACAGUUGUGAACCAGGACAAGACUAGGUGUACAUGGUGUUACUGCAAAGCAAUUGUAAGAACACCAGACAUGAUAUGUUGUCAGUCCAAGACCUGCACAAUCAACCACUUUCAUCUUAAGUGUUUAGGACUAAAAACAGUGCCCAAGCGAAAGUGGUUGUGUACAGACUGUCAAAUAAUUGACAAUGCAAAAAAGAAGUCACAAAAGUCAUAACCAAAUUUCUGUAAUUACAAACAAUGCAUCGUGACUGUUGCUUUAUGGCCCAGUCACACGGCACUUAACGAAGGGUGACGAAGCCCUGACGAAACAAGAAAUCUGGACUUUCGUUGACUGUCGUUGGCAUCGUUUAACCUUCGCGCAGCUUCGUUCCUGCAGCUGGAGCUUCGUCAGGAUUUUUAAACUGUUGAAAAAUUUGAACGACAGAAAUGCACUGUAUUCUAGUAUGAUAAAUUACCUGUAGUUCACAAGAUAUUGUGUAUAGGUCUGUAUAUAUAUUUUGUAUACAUUCUUUGAAAAUUUUAUUUGAUUAUUUGAGUUUACUACCUUAAAAAGAGAAUACUAAUGUACAGCUACUCAGCACUUAUACAUAUUGAAGGGAUAUCAUAUUAUUUUCUUAAGUCUUAACACCUAUAAACUUUGAAAACUAACAUAAGCAUGAUAAUAAUAUGAACAAUACAUUAACUUUAAAUCAUUUCAGGAAGAUUAACUGAAAGCUAAUCAAAUGGAACCACAGAUGGACAAGUGUUUGUUAAAGCACAAGCUACACGAACAAUCUUGUCGAGAGUAGUAAAUUCCUCAUUGUCUGUGUUAUGCAGGAGUGUAAUAGGUACAGGACCCUGCAGCAUUGUGUACUUCUGUCGUGCAACUCCGAUUACUCGCUCCACGUGAAUCCGUACUGAAGCCAACUUUCUAGUGUCCUCAAGUUCAACUGCUCCUAAUUGUUUCUUACCCCUUGUGAAUGCAGGAAUUUCCACUUGAGCACAAUAAAGACCAACUUGAUCUUGAAUUGUAAAUCCUCUGUCAGCUAGCACUAGGUCACCAGGUAACAGUCUAUCCAAAAUCCACUGUUUGCUGUAAUAUGCUGGUCUGUUGCUCUUCCUCUCCAACCCUUGGAGAUAAAUGAAAUAACUCCUUGAGGUGUUAUCCCAAUCAGGUAUUUCAUAGUGU